UACGUAGGGACCAAGCGUUGUCCGGAAUCAUUGGGCGUAAAGAGCGUGUAGGCGGCCUGUUAAGUCUUGUGUGAAAUCUCGGGGCUCAACCCCGAGCGGUCGUGAGAAACUGGCAGGCUAGAGUGCGGGAGAGGAGAGUGGAAUUCCUGGUGUAGCGGUGAAAUGCGCAGAUAUCAGGAAGAACACCCGUGGCGAAGGCGGCUCUCUGGAACGCAACUGACGCUGAGACGCGAAAGCGUGGGGAGCGAACAGG
rnacentral:rRNA from 1 species